rnacentral:rRNA from 1 species
AUUGAACGCUGGCGGCAUGCCUUACACAUGCAAGUCGAACGGCAGCACGGGUGCUUGCACCUGGUGGCGAGUGGCGAACGGGUGAGUAAUAUAUCGGAACGUACCUUAUUGUGGGGGAUAACGCAGCGAAAGCUGUGCUAAUACCGCAUAAUCCCUAAGGGGGAAAGCGGGGGACCGUAAGGCCUCGCGCAAUUAGAGCGGCCGAUACCUGAUUAGCUAGUUGGUGAGGUAAAGGCUCACCAAGGCAACGAUCAGUAGCUGGUCUGAGAGGACGAUCAGCCACACUGGGACUGGGACACGGCCCAGACUCCUACGGGAGGCAGCAGUGGGGAAUUUUGGACAAUGGGGGAAACCCUGAUCCAGCAAUGCCGCGUGAGUGAAAAAGGCCUUCGGGUUGUAAAGCUCUUUUGUCAGGGAAGAAACAGCAGCUCUAACACAGUUUGCGAAUGACGGUACCUGAAGAAUAAGCACCGGCUAACUACGUGCCAGCCGCCGCCGUAA